rnacentral:rRNA from 1 species
ACCCAGGACUGCUUUGGAAACUGUGCUGCUAGAGUGCAGGAGAGGUAAGUGGAAUUCCUAGUGUAGCGGUGAAAUGCGUAGAUAUUAGGAGGAACACCAGUGGCGAAGGCGGCUUACUGGACUGUAACUGACGUUGAGGCUCGAAAGCGUGGGGAGCAA